rnacentral:lncRNA from 1 species
CUCCAAGACAGCCCUGGGCUUUGGGAGCAGGGACUGAGGCUCAUUAAUCUCUGGGUCGCCAGGGCUGAGCACAGCAUGUUCCACAGAGAGAUGGCAGUGGAUGGCAGACCAGUGAGAACAGCAAACAGAAGCAAUGAAGCCUCAGAGAUGCUGAGGGAGGAGCCAGGAACUCUGCUGGAAGGUGCUGUUCAACAUGACCAAGAUGCCAUCGCAGAAGAACUCUUGUCACAGUGGAUUCCUACCCAAAUUUACCGCCAGGAAAAAGUUAUUGGUUUUCGGGGUUUUUUUUGGUCUUGAGGGGAAGUUCUGAGGCGGCUGCUUGCUGCUGGCGGGAAGAAGAAAGCAGAGGACCUGCUGGAAUUGGGUUACGCAUGCGGCUGUCUCCCUGCACGCGGCAGCCGCACGCGCGGCGUCCGUGGACCCUGUAGCUCCCUUGGUGUCUUGGGAGGAACUUGUGGCGUUUUGCACCCACACCAGCCCUGCUCCCUGGAAGAGGAGGCGGAGCUGUGCUGGAGACAUCUGUCACCCUCUGGCUUCCCAGAAAACCGAACAGCACAGGCCGUUUCCCGUGGGUCUGAGUGAAAUUGUCACUGUGGCUGCUUCCUCGCAUCCCCCUUUUAUCAGCGUCUUUGUAGCUUUAUCCCUCGUUUCUCUCUGUGAUUUCUGGACGAGGUGCCACUCAGCUGGUUGUAUGCUAAAGCUGCUUCCAACCCUUCCCCUUAGAGCUGUUAUGACGGGAUUAAGGGCUUUCUCUCCUUUCACACAAUCAUUCAUUAAAAUGCUUUUUUG